ensembl:snoRNA SNORD73 Small nucleolar RNA SNORD73
AACGUGUGAUGACUAACGGUUUCGGUCCCAUAUGACUGCCUGAUUACUUUACAUUGAGAUCAGCUGAUGUU